rnacentral:tRNA from 1 species
GGAGAUAGCACAGUGGUAGAGUGUGUGCCUAGCAAGCACAAGGUCCUGGGUUCAAUCCCCAGGAUUGCCU